rnacentral:rRNA from 1 species
AACGAACGCUGGCGGCAGGCCUAACACAUGCAAGUCGAACGCCGUAGCAAUACGGAGUGGCAGACGGGUUAGUAACACGUUGGAACGUACCCUUCGGUUCGGAAUAACUCAGGGAAACUUGAGCUAAAACCGGAUACGUCCGAGAGGAGAAAGAUUUAUCGCCGAGGGAUCGGCCCGCGUCUGAUUAGCUUGUUGGUGAGGUAACGGCUCACCAAGGCGACGAUCAGUAGCUGGUCUGAGAGGAUGAUCAGCCACAUUGGGACUGAGACACGGCCCAAACUCCUACGGGAGGCAGCAGUGGGGAAUAUUGGACAAUGGGCGCAAGCCUGAUCCAGCCAUGCCGCGUGAGUGAUGAAGCCCUAGGGUUGUAAAGCUCUUUUACCCGGAAGAUAAUGACUGUACCGGGAGAAUAAGCCCCGGCUAACUUCGUGCCAGCCGCCGCCGU